CUACGGGAGGCAGCAGUGGGGAAUAUUGCACAAUGGGGGAAACCCUGAUGCAGCAACGCCGCGUGAGCGAUGAAGGCCUUCGGGUUGUAAAGCUCUGUCUUUGGGGACGAAAAAUGACGGUACCCAAGGAGGAAGCCACGGCUAACUACGUGCCAGCAGCCGCGGUAAUACGUAGGUGGCAAGCGUUGUCCGGAAUUACUGGGCGUAAAGAAUGCGUAGGCGGCUUUUUAAGUGGGAUGUGAAAUCCCUGGGCUCAACCCAGGAACUGCAUUCCAAACUGGAAGGCUAGAGUGCGGGAGAGGAAAUUGGUAUUCCCAGUGUAGCGGUGAAAUGCGUAGAGAUUGGGAGGAACACCAGUAGCGAAGGCGAAUUUCUGGAACGUAACUGACGCUGAGGCAUGAAAGCGUGGGGAGCAAACAGGAUUAGAUACCCCUGUAGUCC
rnacentral:rRNA from 1 species